GGGACGCGGCCAGGCUGGGCGCCGGCCAGGGGCUGCGCAACCGGCCGAAGGUGCGGCGGCUCGGGACGCACUGAGUGCCGGCGAACUGCCGCAGCAAGUAGCGGCGUGGGCCAUGGCGACCGGCGGCGGCUCGACCCCGCAGCAUCCGCGUCCGUCUUCGCAGCCGGCGAGUGACCGUCCCCGCUCCCAGCAAGAGGCGGUGGCUCGGGCCAGGCGAGCGGACAUGGCGAGCUGCGCCGCCGCCGGCUGGUGCGGGCAGAGCGGGUCGGGCGCUGCUGCCGCGUGGGUCGGAGCGGCUCGGCCAGGCCCCAACGCGGGCGGCCUCAGGCGGGGCAAGCGAGGGGGAGGGACCGGCAUGCGGCGGCUCGACGGCAAGCGCAAGCACAUAUUGGAGGUGGAGAUCGAUAGUAUUUUUUAUUUUUCUCUUGAUGAAAUUGUUCUGAGCUGUUGUUGAGAGAAAUUUGGGGAACAUUGAAUAUAUUUUUAAUUUGAGGAUUGAUGCUGGUUUAAUUGUUGUAAUUAAAUGGAGAAUUUCAUGGCAUUGUGAUUGAUUGGGGAAUUUGAGAA